GCCUCCUCUCCUCUCCACUGCCGCUUACGGAAUUUCUUGCUUCCGGUCCUCUACAAAUUUUUGGACUACUUUAGCAAGUUUGACUGGGAACAUAUUGUAUUUGUUUAACUGGUCCUGCUCGCAUAUCAUCUUUGCCAGAAAUUGUGGUUGAGGUUCCUGAAAAUGAUGGUGGUGAGUUACUGCUCAACAAUGAUUUUCUUAGAUAUUGUGUCAAAAUGUUUUCUGUUUCUUCAAGACGGUAUGACAUGAACUCCAGAACCUUUCAACAAAAGCAUCUUACCAUAGUUGAUCCUCUGAAGGAAAAUAAAAAUCUUGGCCGUAGUGUCAGCAAAGGAAAUUUCUAUACGAUACGGAGUGCUUUCACAUAUGGUGCUAGGAAGCUCAAGAGAAUACUUUUGCAGUUAGACGAUAAAAUU